rnacentral:lncRNA from 1 species
AAACAUGGCUGUUCUCUUCAGAGGAGGAGCUCGGGGCCUCGCUGUCCCUGGGAAUGGCUGGUGUUCUCGUCAGGGGAGCUCUGAUCUUCACCUCUUGCACAGGUGAGUCCAAGCAGGACGAGUGAUGACAGGGAAGGUAACUGUGAAAGGACCGAAGGAAUAUCCUCCGGCUCAACCCUGGCUGCAGAAUGAAGGGGUGCUCAGAAGAAGGGUGGGGCUCGCUCUUGAUCAGCUCCCUGUUCCUGACCAAAUGCGGGCACAGAGCGUGCAGGACCAUGGCCCUCUGCUCUUCUUUUCCUGUUUGCUCAUAUCAUCUUCUACAGAUGAAGUCAGGGAGAUUAUGAUAAAAGGACCCUUCUGUCCAACUAAGAAGGUUCAGAGGACCACGGGAAGAACAGAUCUGAGAGGUCUCGUAGCAGGUUCACACAGACUCUUAAUAGGUCAGCAAGGUGCAGAGAAAAAUAGCCUGGACCUGCACAGAAGAGCUGACACCAAGCAAGCAACUGGCUGCAUCCACUGAAUUGUUGAAGGAGAGAAAACAGGAAGGACAGAGAUAGGGAAGGAAGCUAUGUUCCUGCACUUGAAAUAAGAGCUCGUGGAAGAGUAAAGAUGUCCUCAUAAGAGACCAUGUGAUUACAGGAGAGGCUGUGAACAGAGCUGUCAGUCCAUGGGGAACAGAAAGGCAGAAGAACAUUGCAGAAACAAAAACAGAGGCAGAUGAUAUAAUCAGGUCUUGACAGACAGACCUGGGGGGAAAUCUUGUGAAUUAAGUAUUAAGAAGAACCAGAGAGGGCCGGGGAUUUAGCUCAGUGGCACAGCGCC